AACGAACGCUGGCGGCAUGCCUAACACAUGCAAGUCGAACGAGACCUUCGGGACUUGUGGCGCACGGGUGCGUAACGCGUGGGAACCUUCCCUUAGGUUCGGAAUAACUCCCCGAAAGGGGUGCUAAUACCGGAUAAUGUCUUCGGACCGAAGAUUUAUCGCCUUUGGAUGGGCCCGCGUUGGAUUAGCUAGUUGGUAGGGUAAAAGCCUACCACGGCGACGAUCCAUAGCUGGUCUGUGAGGAUGAUCAGCCACACUGGGACUGAGACACGGCCCAGACUCCUACGGGAGGCAGGAGUGGGGAAUAGUGGACAGUGGGCGAAAGGCUGAUCCAGCAAUGCCGGGUGAGUGAUGAAGGCCGUAGGGUUGUAAAGCUCUUUUACCCGGGAUGAUAAUGACAGUACCGGGAGAAUAAGCCCCGGCUAACUCCGUG
rnacentral:rRNA from 1 species